AGUACGGAUAGAAGAUAGACGUAAGUCUUCAGCAGAUCGUAAGGGCCUAGACAGGACAUACUUGUGUAUAAGGGAGGAUAGAUAGGUGGAAGCAGCAUUAUGUAGCGAUUUGAAAGCAAGAACCAGAAUUUUAAAUUGAGCUCUAUAUUUUAUAGGAAGCCAAUGUAGGGACUGACAGAAGGGUGAGGCAUGGGAGGUGCGGGCGGACAGGAAGAUGAGCCUCGCUGCUGCAUUCAUUAUGGACUGUAACGGCACAAGUUGGGAGCACGUAAGACC
rnacentral:lncRNA from 1 species